rnacentral:rRNA from 1 species
AUUGAACGCUGACGGCAGGCCUAACACAUGCAAGUCGGACGGUAGCACAGAGAGCUUGCUCUUGGGUGACGAGUGGCGGACGGGUGAGUAAUGUCUGGGGAUCUGCCCGAUAGAGGGGGAUAACCACUGGAAACGGUGGCUAAUACCGCAUAACGUCGCAAGACCAAAGAGGGGGACCUUCGGGCCUCUCACUAUCGGAUGAACCCAGGUGGGAUUAGCUAGUAGGCGGGGUAAUGGCCCACCUAGGCGACGAUCCCUAGCUGGUCUGAGAGGAUGACCAGCCACACUGGAACUGAGACACGGUCCAGACUCCUACGGGAGGCAGCAGUGGGGAAUAUUGCACAAUGGGCGCAAGCCUGAUGCAGCCAUGCCGCGUGUAUGAAGAAGGCCUUCGGGUUGUAAAGUACUUUCAGCGGGGAGGAAGGCGGUGCGGUUAAUAACCGUACCGAUUGACGUUACCCGCAGAAGAAGCACCGGCUGACUCCGUGCCAGCCGCCGCGGUAA